AGAUGUGAAGGAUACCAGUCAGCAACACUUGUCAUCCUCAAAUCACCAGGUUUGAAUAAACAAGCUUGCUGGGUAUAUGCAUGCUCCCUUCCCCUCUUUUACUCUUGGGCCUCCCUUUACUCUUUGGCACCAUGUGUGUUCCUGUGCAAUUUGCCUACUCUGUGGAAGAGGAUGACCUUUCCCAAUGUUCCUUGGUUGAGUGUAUAUAAGGAGUUGCCCAACACUACCAGAAACUUCAAGCAAACUCUUGAAGUCAAUUUAUAGGAAAAAGUAGAAGAUUCCAAGACUCUAGACACAAAGAAAUGAGUUGUUACAUCAAGCCAUCUAGCUUU
ensembl:misc_RNA 7SK 7SK RNA